rnacentral:ncRNA from 2 species
AUUAUUCGCCGGGGGUGCUGCCUGCAAAGGUUGGCUGAGAAAUACCCUUAAAACCUGCUCUGGUUAAUGCCUGCGAAGGGAGUGUGAAAAUACAAAAAG